UACGUAGGUGGCAAGCGUUGUCCGGAUUUACUGGGCGUAAAGAGCGCGCAGGCGGUCGUUCAAGUCGCGUGUGAAAGCCCCCGGCUCAACUGGGGAGGGUCACGCGAUACUGAUCGACUCGAAGGCAGGAGAGGGUAGUGGAAUUCCCGGUGUAGUGGUGAAAUGCGUAGAUAUCGGGAGGAAUACCGAUGGCGAAGGCAGCCCCCUGGGACAUGACUGACGCUCAUGCACGAAAGCGUGGGGAGCAAACAGG
rnacentral:rRNA from 1 species